UACGGAGGGGGCUAGCGUUGCUCGGAAUCACUGGGCGUAAAGCGCACGUAGGCGGCUCUUUAAGUCAGGGGUGAAAUCCUGGAGCUCAACUCCAGAACUGCCUUUGAUACUGAGGGGCUUGAGUCCGGGAGAGGUGAGUGGAACUGCGAGUGUAGAGGUGAAAUUCGUAGAUAUUCGCAAGAACACCAGUGGCGAAGGCGGCUCACUGGCCCGGUACUGACGCUGAGGUGCGAAAGCGUGGGGAGCAAACAGG
rnacentral:rRNA from 1 species